CAGAUGGUGGAAAGCUGAAUUAGUCCCAGGCAGAAAGACCAGAGAUGCAACAAUGGAGGAGCAAACUGAUUUGAGGUGGUGAAGAGAAGGCUGCCUGUGAUGAAGUUGUUCAAGACUGGCCAAUAAAAUCAGUUUCUCUGGCUGAAAAGAGUUGCAGGAUGCUAGCUUUUAGGAAAAAUACAGUGGACUACUUUAUUCUAUUAAUCCUGGGAGUCAAGCUGAUGGUUAAGUAGCUGCCUAGCGCCCCUUACAAACAUUUUGUCAUCUGCACAAAGAGCAGGGAGAUGGGAGUAUCCUGAGGCCUCCAGAGAAUAUGCAUGUACACCAUUCUCGCUCGUCUCAAGGCCACAGGCUGGCAUCUGGAAUAGAACUUCUCUCCUGAUGAGGAAGCUGAUAAGGUUAUAAGUAAUUGUGUUGGUCAUCCUUAUGGAACUGAGGAUGACAGGGCUCGACAGGAUGAAUUCUGCCUCUUCACCUCUCACAUCUUGUACCUCGACCACCUUCCUGAUUCCAGCGUGUUGGUGUCUAUAGUACAU